AAGCAAUCCACAGAUUAAGUUAUCAAGGAAUGGCCAAUGUACCCUGUGUUGUGCUUACUACAGAUAUAUGGACCUCCAGGGCUACAGAGAGGUACUUAAUUAACAUACUUCUUCUGCUCAGUGUAGGCCUACAACACAAGAAGACUAGAACAGUGCUAAAUGGUGUAUAUAAUGAAGUGCUGCUCAUGGGUCCUUCACCACUCUGCCAGAGAGUCAGCUCUUUCAUACAGAGAACUCAGAGCGUCUGAACCCCACUGGAGGGCAGUAUUUAUCCACCAGGAGAUUGCAGUAGCACCUCACCUCACACUGAGGCUCUCUAAUGGCACAGAGCGGCUCCCACAACGUCACAGACACAGAGGGAUAGAGGUCUCCAUCAUCUUUGGGGGGCACAUGAUUCAGUACCCUCUGUUCAGUGAUGGUCACAGCACCGCCCCGCUUUCUGCAGUAGCCUGACAGUCAGCGUUGGACUGGAGUGUGAACCCGCUGGGUGACGGACCCUGUCCUGCCUGCUGUCAGCCUGCCCCCUAAUGACCAGCUUCUCCCUGCUGGCCUGCAUCUUCAAACUCUGCUGCUUGUAGCUACACAGCCUCCUACGGGCCAGCGCCUUCGCAGGAAUAAAGCAGCACCGCCUCUUACUGGCCAGCACACUGGCAGGUAAACAGGUUCAUUGAUACGCUUUUUACAUUGAUAUGACACAUAUUAUUAGCAUUAGAAUUAGAACAUUUAUAUAAAUGGUGAAAAGCAUAGGAGACAGAAUGGAUACAUUGCUAUCCACAUGGAUACAUUGCUAUCUGUUUGUUAGGUGGUUCUUGAAAUGUGACCUAAGAAUCAGCCAUAUCAUCGUCCUACAGGAACAGGGCACCUGAAGUCAGUGAAUCUGUCCAAUGACGCCCUGUGCUCUACGGGAUUUGAGCUGGUCCUGAAAACUCUGUCUCUUCAAUGUCUCACUCAACUCGAUCUGUCUGCCAUCCACUGUGGAACCGCUGACCACCCUCCUUCAAAACAUCUGACGUUAGUACUCCUUUCCCAGAUGAACACACACACACACACACACACAUACAAAUGCACAAAUACAAAUGCACACACACACACAAAUUAAAAUAAAAUAAUAU
rnacentral:lncRNA from 1 species